rnacentral:rRNA from 1 species
UUGAACGCUGGCGGCAUGCCUUACACAUGCAAGUCGAACGGCAGCACGGGAGCAAUCCUGGUGGCGAGUGGCGAACGGGUGAGUAAUAUAUCGGAACGUGCCCAGUCGUGGGGGAUAACUACUCGAAAGAGUGGCUAAUACCGCAUACGAUCUACGGAUGAAAGCGGGGGAUCGCAAGACCUCGCGCGAUUGGAGCGGCCGAUAUCAGAUUAGGUAGUUGGUGGGGUAAAGGCUCACCAAGCCAACGAUCUGUAGCUGGUCUGAGAGGACGACCAGCCACACUGGAACUGAGACACGGUCCAGACUCCUACGGGAGGCAGCAGUGGGGAAUUUUGGACAAUGGACGCAAGUCUGAUCCAGCCAUUCCGCGUGCAGGAUGAAGGCCCUCGGGUUGUAAACUGCUUUUGUACGGAACGAAAAGGUUUCUAUUAAUACUAGGAGCUCAUGACGGUACCGUAAGAAUAAGCACCGGCUAACUACGUG